CGGUAACAGCUCAAAUUUGAAAGCUAGCUCUUUUAGGGUUCGCAUUGUAAUUUGUAGAAGAUGCUUCGGGUGUGGCUCCGGUCUAAGUUCCUUGGAACAGGACGUCAUAGAGGGUGAGAAUCCCGUCCUUGACAUGG
rnacentral:rRNA from 1 species